GCGCCGUUGGUGUAGGGGUAACACACAACCUGAUAUUGAAGUGUUGUGGUAGUCUGUGGUUGGGUCCUGGGUUCGAAUCCCAGACGGCGCA